ensembl:lncRNA
GUUUGGAUUGCCCGGGCGGCGCGGGAGCGGCCGGGCGCAGCUGACCACGGGUACAGAUAGGUUAAUUUCCACAUGGAGCGGCAGAAACCCAAUCCGCGGGUUGCGAAGCGUGGGUCAGCCAAGGCACGUUAAUCUGUUUAGCAUGUGCGCCGCGCGGAGGAGCCAGACCACCGGGGCGCAGGAGGCGCGGCCGCAGCCGCGCUGCUCCGGGGGAGUUAAUAAAGAGCUUAAGCAUCGCGUUCUGUUGGACAGAGAGCCCCAGGACUGUCAGACGGCGAAGGGUUAGGAAGUGCGCGCAGCCUCGCCGACCCCUGCCCAGUCCGAGAACCAGAGCUGUUGUCGAUCGAGGGCCCGGCCGUUGCGCCCGGGGCGCGCGGGCCUCGCUGAGUCGCGACGAGUCCCUGCGCCUCCUCCCAGACGCGGCGCCACCGAGAGAGAGACCACCGGCUCCCGCUUCAUUUCAGGGGCUGACAAGGGGAAAACACUACUGCGCCCCUGGCCGAAGGAGAGGAAAACAAGACCCAAACUUGGUGACCUGCCCCCUCAGUUUAGAACUUUAAGGUGAGCUUAAUGCUUGAGUACUGAAAAACUCUUCCGAACCCUGACUUCUCUGAGUUUGCAUAGUAGUGUGUCUACAGUGUCUGCAAGUGGAAAAUAUUUAAAAGUGAGAAAAGAAUACAAGAAAAUAUUUUUUCUUUAAAAUUUAAAAAAACUUAUUUUAAAGUUUUUCUUUGAUUUGGAAUACAAUGUUUAAGAACAAGAAAAAAGUGCCCCAGGGCUUUUCACUGUGCCUCCGUAUCUGAGUCUUUCCACAAACGCAUGUGAACAUAAACGCAUUCCUUGCAGAUCACAGUCUCAGUUCACCGUAGUGUGAGCAUUUUGUGCUGAGCCUGAUCAUGAAGAUCCUCCGCCUCCUUUUCAGUUCUUCACUGAUUAGAACUGGUGGCUAGGGUAAGACUGAUGGGUAAACGAUUGGUAGAAAGCCUUAAAAACUUGAGAAGAAACUCAAAUUCCUAGUUCUCUGAGUGGAGGAAUUUUGUGCCUCCAUACCACAUAGGCACCUAUCUCUUUUAGGUGCUUUGUGAGUGAACUGCCACACCAGAAAGAUAGUUUCAAGAAGCAACCUAAGUUUAGUUUACAGACAAUUGAGUUUGGGUUUGUUUUUUUUUUUUAAUGGUUUUGUUAAGUGGAGAAGUGAAAAAAGAUCUUCCUAGCCUUCCCUCCACCCCAUUGUUUGCUGCUGAAAUGGCUCGUUCCUCUUGCUGCGUGAGUGUGUUUCUGUUAUUAGAGGCAACUUGGUGGUGGGAAUUCUUGCGUUUGUUCCCUGUAUUUAAAUUGGGAAUAAAGGGAUUUGCAGUGUAGCAGGUGCUCAAUAAAUACUGCAGACUAAUCCCACUUUUCAAAGCUUAGAGGUUAAAGAGAUGAUCAGUAGGUAAAUAAUUAGAGAAAAGAAAUAGAACAAGAGACCAGAAGAGGGGUUUAAAACACCAUUGCUUUGUUUAUUUUAGAAGGGAGGAGAAAGUUAUCUGUCCAAAUAUACAUCUGACUGAGGUAAGAGAAAACACAAUGUCCCCUCUUUUUUCCUCAUUAUUUCUAGAAAGGGUUAAAUAAUGAUUUAUUUCAUAGAUAGGGUGGGAAUGUUGAAGAAAGAUGAGCUUUACAUGAAGCCAAAAGUUUCUCUUAACUAAUAUAAGGAUUUGGGUAUACUCCAAAGUUUAGAGGUUUUUCAUUUCCUGGAAGAAUAUGGAUGUGGGACAGAAGCCACAAAAGAAUCAUCGGUCUACACAUGUGUGUAGGUUUUAUGUUUUCCAAAAUAUUUUCAUAUAAAUUGGCAUAUUGAUUCUCAAAACCCAUCACCACACUCCCCGCAAAUAUAAAUGAGUGUGAAGAAAACUGAUUUAAUAUUUAUUUUUAACUGAGUCUUAUGUCUUCUGUUGCAACCUCUGGAGAGUUUUGUGUUUUUUUUUGGUUUGUG